GCUGCCCUGCUGUUCCAUCUCUCCCUGCAGAAGGACACUCACUCCUCCUGCCCUCUAACCAACACCCCACGUGGCUCUUGGCACUCAGCAUCCCCCUGCAGCAGCAGGGCCUCCCUUCCCUCCCUCGUGUCCUUCAGCCCACUGAGGGGUUCCCGUUUGCCCCCAAGGUCUACUGGAUUGCAAAGGAUUCAUUGCCACCUGCGAGGAGAACCCAGGGACAGCAGCAGUGCUUUCAUGAAAUGUUGGUGAAAAUAGCAGCUUUGCUGAGCAUGUUAAUAACACCAGUUUGUAUCCUGCAAACCACUUCAUGGGUCACCAGCUAAGAUGGAGUUCAUUAAAAGACAAUUUAAGUUCUUCUGCAGCCUAAGCAAUACCGGGGGAAAUCCAAGGCAGCACAAGAAUUUUAAGACUAUGUAGAAUGUCAAAAUUGGCACCUCUAAGCCUUCUCAGACAAGCGAAAUGGUUUUUCUGCAGCUCCCCAUCCUCCUCUGCCUGGAUUAACCACGGACAAACAAAAGCAGUGGAUUUUCUCCAAGGCUGGGUGCCUAAAACAGGGCUGGGUCACACACAAGACAGGCCAGUAAAUCAUUCUUAUCUCAACCCGUGAUCUUUCCCCUUUGUACCUCCAAUAUUCCCCUCCAGCCUGCUGCAGCGGGAGGAGGGAAUGAGCGAACAGUGCAUGCUUUGGAGAGGUUCAGUGGGAACACUUAAUUGGGGAAUACCAUUCCUAAACCAUGACACCAGACAGGCUGGAUGGGGAAGGAGAAGUGCCACAUAAAGAGACAGGCUGUAUUAUCAUCCUGGUGCAGACGUCAGAACAUCCAGCCAUGAGAAGCAAAUUUUAUCUAACCAAACUUUAUCAUAUUGUCAACUAAACAUUUUACUCCAAGACUGAAUCUAGAAGAGAAAAGUUUUUUUUUUGCACUUACUGUUACUACUCAGUGGGCCGGCAUUCCCAAUUUGGCUUCUUCAAUUUCAGGCCUCCAAAUCAACCCCUGAAACCCUUCCUAGGUCUUUUCUUGACAUGGACACUUGGAGUUUUGCUUCUUGACCAUGAUAACAAGCCACAGAGCACAGAGGGAUGCUUUGAGCUCUAUGAUUUUGGGACCAAAGUGAUGAAUUCAUACUGCCUCUUAUGGCACUCAGGGUCAGGACUAUUUCAGCUCCCAACUGUCUAAAGCUGCUGGGUGCUGGAUGAAGAACGAAGUAAACACCACUCAUGAGUUACACAUACAGAAAUAUGUCCUUCAGGUACAACCUGUGUCUCUUGCCACCAGUAAGUGUGGUAGCCAGCCCACAAUGCUGGGGAGUAAAGUUUGUCUACACAUAUGGUUGUCUCUCCUUGACUGGAGGCACAUCUCUGGCCAUUCCAUUGUCUGCGUUAGGAUGUGGAGAGCUACAACAAUUUUGGUAAGGUCACUCCUUAUCUCUAUCCCUCAGUUGCCCCAUCCACAUAACUCAUGUCAAAUAUUCUUGGAGCUGCAAAUAUAAGGUGUGAUUAAUUAAUUAAUGAAAGCAUUGUAGAUCUUCAGAGAGAAGGAGCUGAGGGAGUCCAGCAGGAUCAUUAUUAUUACCACAAAGUCAACAUCACACAUUCAGAGAUGAAAGCCUCUCCGAGGAGUAUUGCAAACCUAUUGCUGGAAUUAACACUCCCGAUCAAAUUUGAUAGUACCCUUUGUAGAGGAUUUUCAUUUGUAUCCACAGAAAAACAUAAAUAAGUGCUCAGGCUGGCCAAUCUAUUUCCUCUGUAACUGGCAGCAUUCACAGUCACUUUAUUGUAUGAAAUAAUGUCUUGGGUUUUCCUCCCUCUAUCUUGCUUGUGCCUGACCUUCCAUUAAAAGUUGCUUGGAAACUGCUUAGAGAAUAGUCAGUGGUGCUUCUUAUUGAUAUCUUCCUUUUGUGGUUUCUUUGCUAUUCUAUCUUUUUAUGUUCCUUCCCUGAAGCUUUUUAUGCUAGAUGAAGAUGAAAAGAAACCAGAGAAUC